CAUUUGAGGGACUGGUUGCUGACCCCACACUCCUCAAGUUCUCUGUCUGUAGGAUACUAGGAUGCUGACCUUUCUUCAUUCCACUGACGUUAUCUGGCCUAAAUCCUCAGCUUGAAGACUCAAAUUAUCGAAACUUCAGGGGAAAAAUUUAAACUUUCCUACACCAGAAUCAACAUGAGAGAAGAACCUAGUUGCCACCCCAGCCAGACACUCCCUUGCACCAUAUUUGCUUGUCUAAUGAUGUACUUGCUUAGAAGUUCCAGGGGCUAAUCUUGAAAUAAACAAGGCAUAGAGAUCCAGUUGUGGAAGUCUCCCCCACCUAGAAAUUGCCUCAAGGUAGUUAAUCUACAACCCGACCAUUGUCAAAAUGGUCCCAGUUCAUACUCCAGGUGGACAACAACUCAAGAUAGCCAUUGGAGCAAGAUAUGGCGACCUCCAUCCUGCACCACUCCCACAUGCUUCCCAUACCAAGUUUCCCUUCUCAACCCCCUUCAC